AAGCGCUUUUGGGGAGCACAUCGCAGUGGCAGCUCCCUGCUCCCAUCCCAGGGCCUGGUCCUGCAGAUCUGGGCAGGGAGACUGCCAGGCAAGCUCGUGCUGUUCCUCCUGCUAAAAAAUCCCUCAGCAUGUGUGUCCUGAGCAUUGGAAUUGUCCAGGGAAGCCCUAAGGAGCUCUUCCAGGAGCAGUUGCUGUGUCACAGGCCCUCCUUCACCGGCUCUCCUCUCAGGCUGUCCUAUUCUUACCCUGGGGCCUCCAGGAGCCACUGUUAACUGUCCUAGCUGAGGAUAUGGAAAUCGGAAGCUCAAGGUCUCACCACGUGUGAGUCAUAGGGCGAGUCAUAGGACUGGGUUUCACACAGAUCCCCGACUGGAGGAACCCAUGUGGUCUCUCGUGCCUUGUCUCCCCUAGGUGACACUCAGACCAAGGUGCAUUCAGCGAAUCUCUGCCUAACCAUCCGGAAUACAUGCACCUGGUAGCUGUGGGACAGCAGGUAGGAGGGAUGAUGCGCCCCCUUGUGGUGGUCAUUGAAGAUGCUUUAGGUAGCUUUCUUCCUGCCAGGUGGAGUGGAAGUAGAGAUGACUUCCAAGGUCAGGAUGAAGUUCGUGAAUGGCCUAGGGCAAGGGCCCCUGAACUGAGGUCCGUGGAAUGAGUAGUCACCACUGCAUGUUGAGCACUGCCCCAAAAUGAUGAAGCUCCUCUUGCUUUUCCGAAGCUGUUGGUGAUUUUUAUCCAUUAUCCCUGAGGUGGCUCUGUAACCGUUGAGAGGAAGUCUUACUUAACCUAGCGGACACAUGAACGAGAGGCUCCAGGAGGACCUGCGACUUAGAGGUGGAGCUUGGGAUGAAGGUGACAAGGACAUGAGAGAUGAAAAAGGGGAGGCCAGCAGGUGUGAAUCAUACCUCCCUCUCCGGCCCCUCCUCCUGGAGAGCUGGGGGAGGUGGGAGGAGUCUCUUCCCCCACCCAGGCUGGAAUUUCACCACAGAGAAGUAAAGGCCCCAGGAGCCAGAUAUUCUCAAGUUCGUGGUCACAGUCUGCAGAGGAGACCAGAACAGAUAGAAGACCUGAAGGACCCAUCUGGCCAAGAUGAGGACCAACAGCCCCUGCUGUGGUGUGUACCCUGGUUUUGGUCCACGAGGCCCAUGUGUUGAAGGCUGGGUCCCUCAUGUCUUAUACAAAUGGUACUGAGAGGGGGAACUGAUCUAAUCAUG